rnacentral:rRNA from 1 species
GGUUAAGCGACUAAGCGUACACGGUGGAUGCCCUGGCAGUCAGAGGCGAUGAAGGACGUGCUAAUCUGCGAUAAGCGUCGGUAAGGUGAUAUGAACCGUUAUAACCGGCGAUUUCCGAAUGGGGAAACCCAGUGUGUUUCGACACACUAUCAUUAACUGAAUCCAUAGGUUAAUGAGGCGAACCGGGGGAACUGAAACAUCUAAGUACCCCGAGGAAAAGAAAUCAACCGAGAUUCCCCCAGUAGCGGCGAGCGAACGGGGAGCAGCCCAGAGCCUGAAUCAGUGUGUGUGUUAGUGGAAGCGUCUGGAAAGGCGCGCGAUACAGGGUGACAGCCCCGUACACAAAAAUGCACAUGCUGUGAGCUCGAUGAGUAGGGCGGGACACGUGGUAUCCUGUCUGAAUAUGGGGGGACCAUCCUCCAAGGCUAAAUACUCCUGACUGACCGAUAGUGAACCAGUACCGUGAGGGAAAGGCGAAAAGAACCCCGGCGAGGGGAGUGAAAAAGAACCUGAAACCGUGUACGUACAAGCAGUGGGAGCCUCUUUUAUGGGGUGACUGCGUACCUUUUGUAUAAUGGGUCAGCGACUUAUAUUCUGUAGCAAGGUUAACCGAAUAGGGGAGCCGAAGGGAAACCGAGUCUUAACUGGGCGUUAAGUUGCAGGGUAUAGACCCGAAACCCGGUGAUCUAGCCAUGGGCAGGUUGAAGGUUGGGUAACACUAACUGGAGGACCGAACCGACUAAUGUUGAAAAAUUAGCGGAUGACUUGUGGCUGGGGGUGAAAGGCCAAUCAAACCGGGAGAUAGCUGGUUCUCCCCGAAAGCUAUUUAGGUAGCGCCUCGUGAAUUCAUCUCCGGGGGUAGAGCACUGUUUCGGCAAGGGGGUCAUCCCGACUUACCAACCCGAUGCAAACUGCGAAUACCGGAGAAUGUUAUCACGGGAGACACACGGCGGGUGCUAACGUCCGUCGUGAAGAGGGAAACAACCCAGACCGCCAGCUAAGGUCCCAAAGUCAUGGUUAAGUGGGAAACGAUGUGGGAAGGCCCAGACAGCCAGGAUGUUGGCUUAGAAGCAGCCAUCAUUUAAAGAAAGCGUAAUAGCUCACUGGUCGAGUCGGCCUGCGCGGAAGAUGUAACGGGGCUAAACCAUGCACCGAAGCUGCGGCAGCGACACUGUGUGUUGUUGGGUAGGGGAGCGUUCUGUAAGCCUGUGAAGGUGUACUGUGAGGUAUGCUGGAGGUAUCAGAAGUGCGAAUGCUGACAUAAGUAACGAUAAAGCGGGUGAAAAGCCCGCUCGCCGGAAGACCAAGGGUUCCUGUCCAACGUUAAUCGGGGCAGGGUGAGUCGACCCCUAAGGCGAGGCCGAAAGGCGUAGUCGAUGGGAAACAGGUUAAUAUUCCUGUACUUGGUGUUACUGCGAAGGGGGGACGGAGAAGGCUAUGUUGGCCGGGCGACGGUUGUCCCGGUUUAAGCGUGUAGGCUGGUUUUCCAGGCAAAUCCGGAAAAUCAAGGCUGAGGCGUGAUGACGAGGCACUACGGUGCUGAAGCAACAAAUGCCCUGCUUCCAGGAAAAGCCUCUAAGCAUCAGGUAACAUCAAAUCGUACCCCAAACCGACACAGGUGGUCAGGUAGAGAAUACCAAGGCGCUUGAGAGAACUCGGGUGAAGGAACUAGGCAAAAUGGUGCCGUAACUUCGGGAGAAGGCACGCUGAUAUGUAGGUGAAGUCCCUCGCGGAUGGAGCUGAAAUCAGUCGAAGAUACCAGCUGGCUGCAACUGUUUAUUAAAAACACAGCACUGUGCAAACACGAAAGUGGACGUAUACGGUGUGACGCCUGCCCGGUGCCGGAAGGUUAAUUGAUGGGGUUAGCGCAAGCGAAGCUCUUGAUCGAAGCCCCGGUAAACGGCGGCCGUAACUAUAACGGUCCUAAGGUAGCGAAAUUCCUUGUCGGGUAAGUUCCGACCUGCACGAAUGGCGUAAUGAUGGCCAGGCUGUCUCCACCCGAGACUCAGUGAAAUUGAACUCGCUGUGAAGAUGCAGUGUACCCGCGGCAAGACGGAAAGACCCCGUGAACCUUUACUAUAGCUUGACACUGAACAUUGAGCCUUGAUGUGUAGGAUAGGUGGGAGGCUUUGAAGUGUGGACGCCAGUCUGCAUGGAGCCGACCUUGAAAUACCACCCUUUAAUGUUUGAUGUUCUAACGUUGACCCGUAAUCCGGGUUGCGGACAGUGUCUGGUGGGUAGUUUGACUGGGGCGGUCUCCUCCUAAAGAGUAACGGAGGAGCACGAAGGUUGGCUAAUCCUGGUCGGACAUCAGGAGGUUAGUGCAAUGGCAUAAGCCAGCUUGACUGCGAGCGUGACGGCGCGAGCAGGUGCGAAAGCAGGUCAUAGUGAUCCGGUGGUUCUGAAUGGAAGGGCCAUCGCUCAACGGAUAAAAGGUACUCCGGGGAUAACAGGCUGAUACCGCCCAAGAGUUCAUAUCGACGGCGGUGUUUGGCACCUCGAUGUCGGCUCAUCACAUCCUGGGGCUGAAGUAGGUCCCAAGGGUAUGGCUGUUCGCCAUUUAAAGUGGUACGCGAGCUGGGUUUAGAACGUCGUGAGACAGUUCGGUCCCUAUCUGCCGUGGGCGCUGGAGAACUGAGGGGGGCUGCUCCUAGUACGAGAGGACCGGAGUGGACGCAUCACUGGUGUUCGGGUUGUCAUGCCAAUGGCACUGCCCGGUAGCUAAAUGCGGAAGAGAUAAGUGCUGAAAGCAUCUAAGCACGAAACUUGCCCCGAGAUGAGUUCUCCCUGACUCCCUGAGAGUCCUGAAGGAACGUUGAAGACGACGACGUUGAUAGGCCGGGUGUGUAAGCGCAGCGAUGCGUUGAGCUAACCGGUACUAAUGAACCGUGAGGCUUAACCUU